UACGAAGGGGGCUAGCGUUGUUCGGAAUUACUGGGCGUAAAGCGCACGUAGGCGGAUUUGUUAGUCAGGGGUGAAAUCCCGGGGGCUCAACCUCGGAACUGCCUUUGAUACUGCAAGUCUCGAGUCCGGAAGAGGUGAGUGGGAAUUCCUAGUGUAGAGGUGAAAAUUCGUAGAUAUUAGGAAGAACACCAGUGGCGAAGGCGGCUCACUGGUCCGGUACUGACGCUGAGGUGCGAAAGCGUGGGGAGCAACA
rnacentral:rRNA from 1 species